AUUGAACGCUGGCGGCAUGCCUUACACAUGCAAGUCGAACGGUAACAGGUUAAGCUGACGAGUGGCGAACGGGUGAGUAAUAUAUCGGAACGUGCCCAGUCGUGGGGGAUAACUGCUCGAAAGAGCAGCUAAUACCGCAUACGACCUGAGGGUGAAAGCGGGGGAUCGCAAGACCUCGCGCGAUUGGAGCGGCCGAUGUCAGAUUAGGUAGUUGGUGGGGUAAAGGCCCACCAAGCCAACGAUCUGUAGCUGGUCUGAGAGGACGACCAGCCACACUGGGACUGAGACACGGCCCAGACUCCUACGGGAGGCAGCAGUGGGGAAUUUUGGACAAUGGGCGCAAGCCUGAUCCAGCCAUGCCGCGUGCGGGAAGAAGGCCUUCGGGUUGUAAACCGCUUUUGUCAGGGAAGAAAAGGUUCUGGUUAAUACCUGGGACUCAUGACGGUACCUGAAGAAUAAGCACCGGCUAACUACGUGCCAGCAGCCGCCGUAA
rnacentral:rRNA from 1 species